rnacentral:snRNA from 1 species
AUACCUUUCUCGGCCUUUUGGCUAAGAUCAAGUGUAGUAUCUGUUCUUAUGAGUUUAAUAUCUGAUACGUGAGUCAUUGGCUCACACGAUAUUAACUUAAUUUUUUUAGGGGAAAGGUCCAUUGGCUCACACGAUAUUAACUUAAUUUUUUUAGGGGAAAGGUCCAUUUAAGUAGCUUGCUGCUUGGGCCUUUGAGUGUCGCCUUGGUGUUGCACUUUUACCUUGGCUUGGUACACCCCAC